rnacentral:lncRNA from 1 species
UAACUUUGCCUCAUAUCAAUUGCCUUCCCCAGCAGAUAUCUCAUGGUAAAAUAAUUAUUACUAUUUCCAUUCCAUUGUUAGCUACAUACCUACCUACACUAUCUUCACCAUAUUAUAUAGAUGCUUGUUUCAACUUCCAAGUAUAUCAUAACCUGCAUUAAAAAUAUAUGGUGUAAAAUUAUUGGGUCCAGUUUCUCAAUGGCAUGAACAGAGGACCCUGUUCCACACAUAACCUUUAACUUUUAAUUCAUAGUUCCAUCUCUGUUUAACACUUAUCAAAGGUGGGAACACUUGAUGGAUAUGAUUAUAAGUGUUACAUCAGAUAUCUUAACUAUAAGAUCAGAAAGUACUAAAUGUCAGGUUUUAAAUUUGGAUGCAAUUAAACCAACACGAAUUCCAUGUAGUCAAAUGAAACCUGCAGUCACACUGUCAGGAUGACUUGAGCCAUCGGAUCUUGGUCAAACCGUUAAAAAAUGAUAGAUUUUGUUAAGAAAUACGGUUGAGUCAAUCUUACAAAACUGACUUAAAGGGUUGAGAAUUGUCUUCACUUAUAACUAUAUGUCUAGAUCAUAUAUUGUCCGAUGUCCAAAUCAUAUAUUAUCCGUUCUAAGACUUUGAACACACACCCUCACAUUAAUAUGCACCUUACCAUUUAGAAUUGAACAUCUGAAACAUGAAAAUAAAUAAUGAGUGAUCCCAUAGCAGGUUAUUCACCGGAUCAUAAACUCAUAAACUUUGUAUCAAUCAAAAUGAGAACAUAAACCAGAUUUUAAUAUCAUGUUAAAAAAUGUGUUGAACCUAACUCAUUCCUACAAAAUCGAAUUGCAAGGUGAAAAUUACCCAAUUUAUAAACAGAUAUUCGGAUCAUAUAUUAUCGAACUGAAAUUCUUAACA